rnacentral:rRNA from 1 species
UACGAAGGGACCUAGCGUAGUUCGGAAUUACUGGGCUUAAAGAGUUCGUAGGUGGUUGAAAAAGUUAGUGGUGAAAUCCCAGAGCUUAACUCUGGAACUGCCAUUAAAACUUUUCAGCUAGAGUAUGAUAGAGGAAAGCAGAAUUUCUAGUGUAGAGGUGAAAUUCGUAGAUAUUAGAAAGAAUACCGAUUGCGAAGGCAGCUUUCUGGAUCAUUACUGACACUGAGGAACGAAAGCAUGGGUAGCGAAGAGG